GAUGAACGCUGGCGGCGUGCUUAACACAUGCAAGUCGAACGGGAAACCUUUUAAUGAAUCUUCGGCAGCUUUAGCUGGCUUCUAGUGGCGGACGGGUGAGUAACGCGUGGAUAACCUGCCUUAUACAGGGGGAUAACAGUCAGAAAUGACUGCUAAUACCGCAUAAGCGCACAGGACCGCAUGGUCCGGUGUGAAAAACUCCGCUGGUAUGAGAUGGACCCGCAUUGGAUUAGCUUGCUGGUGGGGUAACGGCUCAGCAAGGCGACGAACCAUAGCCGGGCUGGGAGGGGGACCGGCCAGGAUGGGACUGAGGCACGGACCAGACCGCGACGGGAGGCAGGAGAGGAGAAUAUUGUGCGAGAGAGGAAAACGUAGCGCAGCGGCGCGGCGUGUAAGAACAAGUAGCUCGGUAUGUAAACUUCGCAGAGCAGGAGAGAAAGUGACGGUACCUGAAUAAGAAGCCCCGGCUAACUACGUG
rnacentral:rRNA from 1 species